rnacentral:rRNA from 1 species
AACGAACGCUGGCGGCGCGCCUAAUACAUGCAAGUCGAGCGAGAAGACGUAGCAAUACGUUUGUAAAGCGGCGAACGGGUGAGGAAUACAUGGGUAACCUACCCUCGAGUGGGGAAGUAACUAGCCGAAGGUUAGCUAAUACCGCGUACGCUCCUUGGACUUCGGUUCAGGGAGGAAAGCGAUACCGCGGGUAUCGCGCUCUUGGAUGGGCUCAUGUCCUAUCAGCUUGUUGGUGAGGUAACGGCUCACCAAGGCUUCGACGGGUAGCUGGUCUGAGAGGACGAUCAGCCACACUGGCACUGCGACACGGGCCAGACUCCUACGGGAGGCAGCAGUAAGGAAUAUUGCGCAAUGGGCGAAAGCCUGACGCAGCGACGCCGCGUGGGGGAGUGAAGGUC